rnacentral:rRNA from 1 species
UACGUAGGGGGCGAGCGUUGUCCGGAAUUAUUGGGCGUAAAGAGCUCGUAGGCGGCUUAGUAAGUCGGCGGUGAAAUACCGAGGCUCAACCUCGGCACUGCCGUCGAUACUGCUAUGGCUAGAGUUUGGUAGAGGAGAACGGAAUUCCCGGUGUAGCGGUGGAAUGCGCAGAUAUCAGGAGGAACACCGGUGGCGAAGGCGGGUCUCUGGGCAGUAACUGACGCUGAGGAGCGAAAGCGUGGGGAGCGAACAGG